GAAAAGUAAUCAUUUUUUCGAAGUGAAAAAAGUUUGAGUAUAUCAUGAUAAACAAAUUGUCAAAAAAUAAGUACUACUACAUGAUAACAAAAUUCAAUUACGUAAAAUACUUUUAUUAUUUUGAAUAAUUUUUUUUCUCUUUUAUUAUUAUCCUUUUAAGUUAGUAGUUAUUUGAUUGCUUUAAAAAUAUUAAUAGAAUGAUAGUUGAUUAAGUAUUUUGAUCAAUUGUUGAUCAAGUAUUUUGAUCAAUUGAUUAAAAUAGUUUAAAAGAAUGUUUU
rnacentral:lncRNA from 1 species